rnacentral:lncRNA from 1 species
GAGGCGCCACUGAGGUCUUUAUCAGAAUAGAAACAUGAGGCCCCGUACUCGUAGGAUGCCCGGUUGCAGGCCAAGACCGAGUUGGACUGUUGGUAAAAACAAGAAUUCCACACACGCAUCUAGCCCCUCUUCCAGGGCUCGAGAAAUCACUCUAACCAGAAAACCGGGCAAACGAAGCAGGCAACCAUCGGAGAACUCUGAAUUAGUCUCACCUUCAGACCGCGGCUCCCAGAAGCUUCUGCCUCUCUGACAGCUGUCGCUUCGGCAGCCCAAGAGACGAAUUGUCCUCCUUCCUGGUGCCAGAGGACGCAGGAAAUUAGCCAGGUUGCAAGUUGCAAAGCAGCGGCGGCUGCUCCAGGAACUGGACGCGCUCCACCUCCAGCGACAACGGCUGGCCUGGGCCUGGCAGCGGCUUCCCCUCGCUCGCCAUCGCCGGACAAAGCGCAGCCCAGGCAGGCUGGCAAGGCAGAGCUCCGAAGCACGCAGGAUGGAGCGGAGCAAAAGAAUGCGGCUCUAUUCUCGCAAGGGAAAUUAUAAAAAAGUUCAUGUUCACGGUUCCUAUCCACAUGACCGACAGCGGCCAAUGGAAGGGCCGAACAACUCAUAAAGUUGUAUUGCAAAGUUGUAAA